rnacentral:rRNA from 1 species
GGACUACCGGGGUAUCUAAUCCUGUUUGAUACCCACACUUUCGUGCUUCAGUGUCAGUUGUAGCCUGGCAAGCUGCCUGCGCUAUCGGAGUUCUUCGUAAUCUCUAAGCAUUUCACCGCUACACUACGAAUUCCGCCUGCCUCGUUUACACUCAAGUUAUCCAGUAUCAACGGCAAUUUUGACGUUAAGCGUCAAGAUUUCACCGCUGACUUAAACAACCACCUACGCACCCUUUAAACCCAAUAAAUCCGGAUAACGCUCGCAUCCUCCGUAUUACCGCGGCUGCUGGCAC